rnacentral:tRNA from 1 species
GGGGCAUUGGCGCAGCUGGGAGCGCGCUUCCAUGGCAUGGAAGAGGUCACGAGUUCGAGCCUCGUAUGCUCCA